rnacentral:rRNA from 1 species
UACCAGCACCCGAGUGGUCGGGACGAUUGAUUGGCCUAAAGCAUCCGUAGCCGGUUCUACAAGUCUUCCCGUUGAAAUCCACCCUGCUUGAACAGAACUGGGCUGCGGAGGAUACGUAUAGAGCUAGGAGGCGGGAGAGGCAAGCGGUACUUAGUGGGUAAGGGGUAAAAUCCGUUGAUCCAAUUGAAGACCACCAGCGGCGGAAGGCGGACUUGCCAGAACCGCAGUCCGAACCGG